rnacentral:rRNA from 1 species
UACGGAGGGUCCGAGCGUUAAUCGGAAUGACUGGGCGUAAAGCGCGCGUAGGUGGUUUGAUAAGUUGGAUGUGAAAGCCCUGGGCUUAACCUGGGAACUGCAUCCAAAACUGCCAGACUAGAGUACGGUAGAGGGGAGUAGAAUUUUCGGUGUAGCGGUGAAAUGCGUAGAUAUCGGAAGGAAUACCAGUGGCGAAGGCGGCUCCCUGGACUGAUACUGACACUGAGGUGCGAAAGCGUGGGUAGCGAACAGG